rnacentral:lncRNA from 1 species
UAUAUUUUAAGUACGUUUUUUUUGGUUUUUCGUGUAAGAGAUGUUAACUAAAAUUUUGAUCUCGCUUCCGCAUUCGAUAUAUUUAAAUACUCAUUUCUUUUUAAUAUUUCCGGGGCCGUUACAGUUGGUAUCAGAGCCGCAUUUCCUCGGACCCAUCCCUUACACAAUAGUGCCUUAGAGUAAUACUCAUCGAUAUAUCGUUACUCAAUCAUUACUUGUGAAGACGAGUACACGGGAAUGAGGAGAGGAAGGCCCCCCACUAAACCAAGCGGCCCAAGAUAAUUCGCUUCGGGAGGAUUUAGACAGACUAUUUGAGAUGGUGGAGGCUCUCGUAACUGCCCAGCAAAGGCAAGAGGAGAGAAGGGAGUUACCCGGACCUCCUCCGCUAGCGCAGGUUGAGCCCCCGCUACAGUAGGCUGAUCUCGAGCCACCCCGGCAGGAGCCUGUUCCUCCACAGUACCACCCGGCGCCACAGCCGCGGUACGACCCUGUACCACAGCCACGGUACCAGCAGGCGCCGCCACAGCACAUUCCAGUACCCCCACCACAUCAGUAGGUGCCACCACAGGGUCCCCCAGUUAACCCUCAGCCGGCCCAAGUUCCUCUACUUCGGGACCCCGCUACUUCCUUGAUCGACCCCGGCUUCAUAGAGAGGUACAGAAGACUGAACCCUUCUACUUUUGCAGGGGGAUCCUCUUUUGAAGAGGCCCAAUACUAGCUGGCAGAGACUGAAAGAGCUUUCGAGACCUUGGGAGUAGUUCUUGAGCAGAGGGCUGCCAUUGCCUCCUACAUGCUAGUAGGGGAGACAUUGCUAGGAGAGGUUGUCUACAGGGCAUGUGCCGUGGAGAUAGCAGAUAGGAAAUUGAGGGUAGACCUGAUAGGGUUAGACACAUGGGAUUUUGAUGUAAUCCUAGGAAUGGAUUGGCUAGCGGUGUAUCACGCCACUAUAGAUUGCUUUAACAAAAAGAUUG